GUGGGUUAUUAGCUCUCCCCAACUCCCUACUAUCUGUUAUCCAUAUUUCAUAAUUUCGAAUACACGUCAUUUGCAGGAAAGUGGAAAACCCCGAAGUUCGUAUUUUUAAUUGCGUGAGCAGCAAUCAGAAUCCGAUAACGUGGGGUCGCCAUCGACAGCUUCUGCAGAAGUACGACUCAAUAAUACCAGCAAGUGAGAGGUUCUUCAAUCGUUUCCUUAUCUUCUCCAAGAGCGACAUGCUAUUGAGUCUUAUUCAGCUAUUCUUUCUCCCUGUGGUUUAUUUAAUGAAUCGCAACGUUUCAUUUUUUGGAAAACAGCUCUCAAGCGUUCGUCUGUAUAAAGGAUUAGCGAGAUAUAUACAAGAUGGCGCAUUUGCAUCGGGAAGACCCUGGCUGUUUAAGGACGUCAACACUCAGGCACUUUGGAGUCUUCUCGACAAGAAGGAUAGAAAGAUGUUUAAUUUUGAUAUAAAGACAGUCGAUUGGGAUACAUUCUAUUAUCAAAUGACGUGUGACAUGCGUCGCCACGUUUUCAAUAAGAACGUGUGCAUAACGGAAAAAGCAAAAUGUUAGAUGUAAAUGUUUUAUUGACAUUGGUGGGGGAAUCUGAAUACAAAUAUACUUUACCUUAAUCAUA